rnacentral:rRNA from 1 species
UACGUAGGGUGCAAGCGUUGUCCGGAAUUAUUGGGCGUAAAGGGCGCGUAGGCGGCCGUUUGCGUCGGAUGUGAAAGCCCGGGGCUCAACCUCGGAACGGCAUUCGAUACGGGACGGCUGGAGACCGGGAGAGGAGAGUGGAAUAGCCAGUGUAGAGGUGAAAUUCGUAGAUAUUGGCUGGAACACCGGUGGCGAAAGCGGCUCUCUGGCCCGGUUCUGACGCUGAGGCGCGAAAGCGUGGGGAGCAAACAGG